rnacentral:rRNA from 1 species
GGCACGGGGACUGUGGUUAUUCGAACACGCGCAGAACCUUACCAGCCCUUGACAUCCCGAUCGCGGACAGUGGAGACAUUGUCCUUCAGUUAGGCUGGAUCGGAGACAGGUGCUGCAUGGCUGUCGUCAGCUCGUGUCGUGAGAUGUUGGGUUAAGUCCCGCAACGAGCGCAACCCUCGCCCUUAGUUGCCAGCAUUAGGUUGGGCACUCUAAGGGGACUGCCUGUGAUAAGCCGAGAGGAAGGUGGGGACGACUUCUAUCCUCAAGGCCCUUACGUCUGGGCGACACCGUGCAAUUCAGGCGGUUACAGUGGGAUUUCGAUUACAAUUACUAUGUAUUUACCAAAACAAUUUUCCGGAAUUGCGUUCUUUGUAACCCAUCUACAAAAUCGAAAUCCACACACUUUCGAUUUUAAAAUUUUAACUUUAAAAUAUACCACAGAAUAUAUAUCUCAUAUAAAAAAAAAUUUACUCAAAUCUAUAAAUCUGACCUCUCAUAAC